CAAAUGGCCCUUUUCAGGGCCACUAAUAUUUUUUACAAGGAGCAC
rfam:Melipona quadrifasciata isolate 0111107301 unplaced genomic scaffold scaffold32, whole genome shotgun sequence.